rnacentral:rRNA from 1 species
GAUCCUGGCUCAGGAUGAACGCUAGCUACAGGCUUAACACAUGCAAGUCGAGGGGCAGCAUUUUAGUUUGCUUGCAAACUAAAGAUGGCGACCGGCGCACGGGUGAGUAACACGUAUCCAACCUGCCGAUAACUCGGGGAUAGCCUUUCGAAAGAAAGAUUAAUAUCCGAUGGUAUAUUAAAACCGCAUGGUUUUACUAUUAAAGAAUUUCGGUUAUCGAUGGGGAUGCGUUCCAUUAGGCAGUUGGCGGGGUAACGG